GAUGAACGCUGGCGGCGUGCCUAACACAUGCAAGUCGAGCGAACAGAUGGGGAGCUUGCUCCCCUGACGUUAGCGGCGGACGGGUGAGUAACACGUGGAUAACCUACCUAUAAGACUUGGAUAAUUACGGGAAACCGGAUCUAAUACCGGAUAAUAUAUUGAACCGCAUGGUUCAAUAGUGAAAGACGGUUUUGCUGUCUCUUAUAGAUGGAUCCGCGCCGCAUUAGCUAGUUGGUAAGGUAACGGCUUACCAAGGCGACGAUGCGUAGCCGACCUGAGAGGGUGAUCGGCCACACUGGAACUGAGACACGGUCCAGACUCCUACGGGAGGCAGCAGUAGGGAAUCUUGCGCAAUGGGCGAAAGCCUGACGGAGCAACGCCGCGUGAGUGAUGAAGGUCUUCGGGUCGUAAAACUCUGUUGUUGGGGAAGAACAAAUGUGUAAGAAACCAUGGACGUUUUGACGGUACCUAAUCAAAAAGCCACGGCUAACUACGUG
rnacentral:rRNA from 1 species